AAACCAGCACCUCAAGUGGUCAGGAGGAUUAUUGGGCCUAAAGCAUCCGUAGCCUGUUCUGUAAGUUUUCGGUUAAAUCCACUAGCUCAACUAGUGGGCUGCCGAAAAUACUGUAGAACUAGGGAGUGGGAGAGGUAGACGGUAUUCGGUAGGAAGGGGUAAAAUCCUUUGCUCUAUUGAGGACCACCUGUGGCGAAGGCGGUCUACCAGAACACGAUCGACGGUGAGGGAUGAAAGCUGGGGGAGCAAACCGGAUUAGAAACCCCGGUAGUCC
rnacentral:rRNA from 1 species